rnacentral:lncRNA from 1 species
AUGGUUCUUCCCACCCCUCAAGGAGCGCAGCCUCGGCUCCCCCCUGCCAACACUCGAGAGGGAUCUGGGAGCGAGACAUCAGUUAAUCCCACCUCCUUGACAUUUUGGCCGGGAAAGGGAGAAAGCCCACCCGGCUGCUCUGUCCACGCCUCUCGACCGGGAACCCCGGAGGAGCGCUCAAAAGGCGCUUUCCUCCAGAGCGCCCGCGCGCAGAGGCGACAGAGACGCCGCGGCAGCCCAGCUGCGUCCUAUGGAGAGAGAAUUCGGCGGCGCCCUUCUGGCGCGCUCCACACCGGGACGCCUUUCGACCUUUCCCCCAACAGGUGGCGAAGGGCUCUCCGCGGCGGCGGCAGCAACCGAGCGAGCGUGACCGUGCUGCAGGCCACCACGAUCGGAAAGCGAAAUCACUUUAACCCGGACCCGAGGCGAUUUGCCGGACGGAAAACGCGGCCGAAGCCAAGGGAAGAGCUCCGGCCGCGGCUUGGGCUUCUCUUCGCCCCUUCCGGAAGACGAGAGCGCGGCGGCGGCGGCGGCCACUUUUGCCAUUUUAAUUUCCCGCUUCCACGCCUGCCGGGCCGCCCGCUGCCAAGGUUUGGCGCCGGGGCCACAGCACCAUGGACGCGACCGCGACGGCAGCAGCCCCACCAUGAGCGAGAGCACGCCUCCGCGCGGACCAUGUCCCAUGCUCUUUUAAGGAAUAUCUUUCGGAUUCUACUCCUGUACCUAGUUCUGGUGCCAGAUGCGCCAUCCCUUUGCAUGAAGGCAAUCCAAGAAGAGUAUGAGAAUGUGUUAUUCCCCUUCAUUACUUACCUGGAAAAUUCGACUGGACAGAUUACUGCUAGCUACAGGUGCUGUUGCAGAUCAAAUAAGGAGAGAGCCCUACGGUGUAUGGCAAAAUACCUUAAAAAAAUGUCCAAAACAUCAUGUAUCUCCACCAAGGAGGAGAUAAAACAAAGAAUGGAAUACGUUUCCACCGUUACACUGAUGCUACAGGAGAAAUACACCAACACCACUGCUUCAACAGCACAAAAAAGAGAGUCUUGUCGAUGCACAGACUGCUGCUGCAAAAUGCUUGAUCCCAUAUGUUGUACAAAGAAAGUAAUUUUUGACUUAAUGUCUUGUUGGAGGCAUUUUAUCCUAUAG